rnacentral:lncRNA from 1 species
CUCCCCCUCGUCUCCCUCCCUCGCAGCGGCGGCAGCAGUAGCCGCUUCAGCAGAGCCGGAGAUGGGCAGAGAGCGCGCGCGGCGCAGCAGCUCCGGAUACGCCGCCCUCCCCGCCCGCAGCUCCCCGCGCCCCCGCCGCCGCUGUCGCCGCCUCGGCGUCCCCCGGCUCCAGUCUCGCUCCUAGGACAGCGCCGCUGCCACCGCUCGGCCCUGCCCGCCGCCUGCGCCGCGCAGCUCUCAGGCGCGCCUGGAUGGCGCUUUCCACCCCGGACCGGUUUAGAAUGUAAUAAUUCAAGAAUUUUAUCAUCAAGUGGAAUAGCUUAACAACUGUCUAUGUGCUUCCCAUGAUAUGUUCUCUACAGUUCCUUUCCUUGUUGGAGACCCUGAGGUUAUAAAAUCUAUCAAAAGUGACUUGGAACUUACUGACUCUCGAUCCUGCUUCAAGAAGGCAGGGAGCUGGAGCUGCCUGCUGGUAUUUUGUGGGAGCUGGAGGUAGCAGUGGGCAGACUGUUAGCAUGUCAUUUCAGAACACUGAAUGCUUUUUGACACAAAAUACCACUUUAAUACACAAUAUGUGGUUCUAAAGCAGUGCUUUCUGAAGAAAAUGUAAUGUGAGACACAUGUGAUUUCAUUUUUCUAGAGGUCACAUUUCAAGUAAAAAGAAGCUGGUAACAUGGGUGUUAGUAAUAUAUUGUAUUUAACCUUAUAUAUUCAAAAUACAGUCUUUUUAACAUAUGAUGAAUGUAAAAAAUAUUAAUGGUCCUUUUAGCAUUCUUGUUUUAAUAUUGUCUUUCAAAUCCAAUGUGUGCUUAUAGUACAUCUCAAUUUUGAUACUAAAUUUUUACUGGGUAUACUUGAUCUAUAUUUUGAUUUAAUAAAAUUUAUAGUUGAUAAAGAUUCA